GGCGGCCUCAGCGCCGCUCACUGAGCGUGCGGCGCCGCCCGCAUCCCGGAAGCGCUUUGCGGCCGCGCUCCAGGCCCCCUCCCCCUCUCCCUCCCUCCCCCCGUUUCUCGGAGACCCGGGGCGGACCGGAGAGCUCCCCCGCACCCAAAGCAGGAGCGGGGGGGCGCCCCCCUCCAGCGGCCGCCGUUCUCACUCUAGAGGCCGCCGUCCCGGAGGCCCGGGGCAGAGCGAGGGGCCGGGCGGGCAUGCAGCCGCCGCCGGAGCCGAGCUCCCAGCGCAAUACGAAAAUGCCUGAAGCCUCAGAAGAUCGUAAUCAUUGGAAGGUCUGUUGACUUCCACUUUUUGAUAAUCUGGAACAUCAUCCGUUUGGCAUGGCUCAGGGUAGUCAACAACUCGAUGUGCAGGUACUCCAUGAUCUCCGACAACGUUUCCCUGAGAUCCCUGAAGGGGUGGUAUCUCAAUGCAUGCUACAGAACAACAACAACCUGGAUGCCUGUUGUCGAGCCCUCGCACAGGAGAGCAACAAAUACUUAUACAUGGAGUACCAUAGCCCUGAUGACACCAGAAUGAAUAGAAAUAGCCUUUUGCACAUUAAUCUGGGUAUUCAUCCUCAUACCAGCUAUCAUGCAGGGGAUGGAGCUCAACUUAAUGGUGGUCGUACACUGGUACAUAGUUCAAGUGAUGGACAUAUUGAUCCACAACGCACAGCAGGUAAACAGCUGAUAUGCUUAGUUCAAGAACCACAUUCUGCUCCCGCUGUUGUGGCAGCUUCUCCUAAUUACAAUCCAUUUUUCAUGAAUGACCAGAAUAGAAAUGCAGCUACUCCUCCUCCACAGCCACCUCCACAGCCAUCUUCCAUACAACCAGGAAUGAACACGUCUGCUAUGCAAGGCCCUCCUCCCACGUAUAUGCACAUACCUCGGUACAGUACAAAUCCCAUUACUGUUACAGUAUCACAAAACCUCCCCUCUGGACAGAGUGUACCCAGAGCUCUACAAAUUCUUCCACAGAUUCCAAGCAAUCUUUAUGGGACUCCUGGCUCUAUUUAUAUUAGACAAACAUCUCAAAGUUCUUCAGGACGACAGACUCCUCAGAAUACACCGUGGCAUUCAUCGCCACAGGGCCCAGUUCCACAUUAUACUCCCCGUCCUCUACCUGUGUAUCCACAUCAACAGAACUACCAGCCUUCUCAGUAUUCUCCUAAACAACCCCAGAUUCCUCAAUCAGCCUUUAGAUCACCACCGGCAUCCCAGUGCCCCUCUCCCUUUGGCUCUCCUCAACACCAGGUUCAGCCUCAGCUGAGUCAUCAGAGUUCACAUGUUUUUAUGCCUCCUAGUCCUUCAAAUGUCCCUCCUCAUCCAUAUCAGCAAGCAUCGCAGACUUUUCAAAAACAAGGCAGUCACUCUGUAUCGUAUCUUCCUCCUUUUGCUGGACCUAGUUUAUCCAAAGGUUCCAUGAAUAAAAUAGAAAUUACAGUUGAACCACCGCAAAGACCCGGGACUGCAAUGAACAGAAGUCCUUCACCAAUAAGUAAUCAACCAUCUCAACGAAACCAGCACCCACUGUAUGCAGCCACUACUCCUCCUUCAAGCUCUCCAUCAAGAGGUAUGUCGGGGCAACCCAAACCUCCAUUUAGUGUUAAUCCAGUAUAUAUUACCUACACUCAACCAACUGGACCUACAGGUGCACCAACACAGUCUCCUCGGGUAAUGGUAUCUCAGCCAAACCCAACUAUUUUUAAAAUCACAGUAGGUCGAGCACCGACUGAGAAUCUUUUAAAUUUAGUGGACCAAGAAGAGCGUACUGCAGCACCGGAACCUAUUCAGCCUAUUUCUGUAAUCCCAGGAUCUGGAGGAGAAAAAGGAAGCCAUAAGUAUCAGAGAAGUUCUAGUUCUGGAUCGGAUGACUAUGCUUACACUCAAGCCUUGCUAUUACAUCAACGAGCGAGGAUGGAGAGAUUAGCAAAGGAACUGAAGCUUGAGAAAGAAGAGCUUGAACGCCUGAAAGCUGAAGUCAAUGGUAUGGAGCAUGAUCUAAUGCAGAGGCGACUUCGAAGAGUUAGCUGUACAACUGCAAUUCCAACAGUAAGCAAUUUCCUGAGGAAAUGACCAAAUUGAGAAGCCUCAACAGACAGCUCCAGAUAAAUGUUGACUGUACACUGAAAGAAGUUGACCUCCUUCAGUCUAGAGGUAACUUUGAUCCGAAAGCCACAUGUAACUUCUAUGAUAACAUAGAGCCUGGUCCUGUUGUGCCACCAAAGCCAUAUAAAAAGGAACAUCCAAACAAUUCCAAACAGACUGCACGGACUCAGCCAAGAGAUGAAGACUUUGAAGGAGCUCCAUGGAAUUGUGAUAGCUGCACCUUUCUAAACCACCCAGCACUAAAUCGCUGUGAGCAGUGUGAAAUGCCACGAUACACUUGAAAAUCAAGAAGGGGCUUCUUUGGGUUGAACGCAGGCUCUCAAGCAGACAGCUAUAGGAGACGGAAACAUGGGGAACCUUUCAGUCCAUUUGCCCGGCCUUUGCUAGUCUACAAUCUUCAUAGUGCAAAGGGGUGGGGGAAAUGUGUUAAGAUGUUUCUGGUUUGUGACACACUAAGAAAGAAAUAAAGGUGAAAUUCUUUCUUAUCCUAUUACAGUGAGCAAAGCAGAAAACAAAACCUGAAAAUGUAAAAGGAUUAAUUUCAGGAAGAAUGUAUGCGGGAAAGCAAAUAACUACUGGUGUUUAGUCCUGUGGUUGCAGUUACUGCUUAGUAGCUCUUAAAAAAAAAAAAAAAAAUUUUAAAAAAUCAAGUUAUAGGAAAUGUGUGAAAUGUUACACUGAUCCCAAAAAACUGAAGAGCCAGAGUUGAUUUAACCUGGCUUACAGCUAGCUGGAAAACAAAGGCUCCCUGUGCUUCUAGAUUGUAAGCUAAUGAAAAAGAAGACAGGUAAAUGCAAACAUUUUUUCAAUGUAUAGAAAGAGGGGGGGGGCGGGGGGAACCAACAUAAAAAUACCCUUCUCCUUGUUGUUUUUGGUUUUUUGUUUUUCUUUUUUUUUUUUGUAAUUGCUGCUUUUUUCAGGGUAAUUUAUGUCUACAAAAAAUUACUGUUUGAAAUAGUGACCUAAGGUGACUAGACGAGAUACUGUGUGAGUGUUACAGAGAGUUUAAAUCAGAGGUAAAUUUUUACAAUCCCUUUUGCUUGUACAGUGCUCACCUGGCUGUGUCAACAUGGGUAAUAAACCAAGAAUGAAUUGUACCAUAUUAUGGAUGAAAAUACUACUGCAUGCUUUCAUUUGACCAUUGUGUUUAAAAGCAAAAAGUAUGCUUUUUAUAUACAACAAUUUGUGUAAGACUGUGCUGUAGCAGCACAGUGACAUAUGCCAAACAGACUACUCCAGAUUUGGUUUGAAAGACUUGAGCUCAGCCAUGAUUAUGUAUGAGAAGUGUUUGUACCCAGUUUCUUAGGCUUUUUCAGCUUCCAAUUUAUGAAGAAUUCAUGAUGUUUGCAGCACAGAAGGUACCUUGUGCUCCAGUUCAAAGUUAGCUGAAAAAUAGUUACUCAGUUAGCUCUUCAGUUCAGGUUUAUUUGCACAUUGUUAAUUAACCAGCCUGUAUAAAGUAGCAGAUGGCAGAUCUUGAAGAGAAAUUACACAUUGCAUUCUUUAUAUUUUGAUCAGGAAAUGUUUGUCAUAGGUUGAAGAACACAAGACUUGCAGCUGAAAAUCAUACUGCUACUUUUCAUGCAUACGAUCUACUGUAUUAUAAAGGUGAUCUUCAGUUUGUCUGAAUGCUUCAGAUUGCUGUAAUAAAGCACUCAUUAUUUUUGGAAUUGAACUUGGUUUUGGGCAGCUGAAUGAUUGUGUUUCAAAACUGUGACUGAGUAGGAUGUUUUGUGUACCGUUUAGAAGCCGGUACAAUGCAUUGGAGUUUUUAUGGUGCAACUUUUUCAAGAAUCAGAGAUGAAACCAAGCAUGUCAGCUGAGUUCUGGAAAUUGACAACCAUGAGGCAAAAACAUGCUAGCUAAAUCUCACCAGGAGAGAUUCAAACUAUUUCAUUGUAAAUUGUUCUUAAUUCAUGGCAAUCCUAUCCACGUGAUCAAUUACCACAAUUUGUUUGAUGAGUGAUUUAAGCAUUGGUAGAACAAUCAUGUCUGAAUCCUUGUGUAAAAGCAGGCAGCGUUUGUAAGAGGUGGGUGAGGAAAAUGUAUCUCGACUUCAUUGCUAAAUCUGGUGUCUUCUCUCCCUGUAGUUUAUAAAGAUGAUGGUAAAAAAUAAACUGUGACCUUAGAUGAGGACCCAGUACUUGAUCUGGCAUUUUUCAAUAUGUUCUUGCACUAGUUAAAUCUUCAGCAUAAUUUUAAAUAAGCUAAAAGAAUUCCAGCAAUCAGUGUGCACUGCUGAUGAGUGAAACAAAGUCAAAGGCAUCAGAGACAGUUUCUCUCUCUCUUCCCUCCUUCUCUUUUAUGCUCCGUGAGGAGCUCAUCAUGUGAGGGGGAAUCACUGUCCAUGCAAAGUUAGAAAACAACUAUUAAUUGUGUUCAUGAAAGUGGACGUGUUGACAAUACUGAUAACAAGAAAACAGAUGAGCAGAAGCAUUAUACCUAGGAUAAGCAAUACCACUGCUGUUACGGGCUGUAUAAUGAAACAAUACCAGUAACUUCAUGACUUUUCUAUCAUGAUGCCUUUGCCUUUGUAUUAUUUCAAUUUUCUAUUCAUUUGUACUUCUGUUGAAAUUCUAGAAGCAUUUGUUUGCUGGAAUACAAAAUGAUAGCAAUUAAAAUGGCAGUCAGCAAAUGAGAGUAGGUGUUGUGCAUCAUUAUAGUUGUCAUUUUCUGACAGAAUAGAUGCUACUUUUGACUAAAAAUAAAAACGCAUGCAGUCCAGCAAUUCCCUGAACUGAAAUAACCAUAAGUGCGCAGUGCCUGGUAUUAGUGGAGAUGCUUAAGGCUUAGCCAUAACUACAGCAGAAGAAAAAGAAGGCUGCCUUGACACCAAGAUACAUUUUGGAAGACUGAGUGAGUGCCAUCAAAAUGCAAGUGAAUUCCAUUGUUCCAACAGUUUUACUCCGGUCAUUCACUUACUCUCAUUUGUUGUUUGUACAGAAACAAAACCAACAAACCAAACCCCUUCCUUGUUUUCCUUUACCUGUAAAUGCCCUUGCAGAUACAUCAAUAGUGAAAACUUUACAUGGUGCUUAAAUAUUUUUAGUUUCUUAGAAUGUAAAUUGUAUUUUGAAUGAUGAUUCAUUUUCCUUCUGAAAGCAGGCGAUGCAGGUGAUUUCAGACCCGGAAUGAGUUGUAGAUUAUGCCAAAAAAAAAAGAAAAAAGAAAAGAAAAGAAAAGAAAAAAAAAAAAAAGAGGUUGGUCUGUGUAAUAUUUAUUGAAUGCACAUAAAACCCCGAUGUCGGCUGGCAUAUAAAAAUGCACUGUAUUGUAUAAAACUUUUGUGUGUAUGUGUGAAUGGUGGGAUGCCGAUGCCAUUGUGUUGAGUUAAUGCACUACUUGUGUUUUCUUUGUUUUCCUUAAUGACAGAGCUCUCCCUCAAACAUGUUACUAGAUUGAUAGUGUUUGUAACUGACUUGGACAUUCGAAUAUUCAGAGUGAUUUCACUGUUCACUGAAAUUUUAUAAAGCUAAUUUUAUAUUUACUGUGCUAUUAAGAUGAAAUCCCUAUAAGUAUAGAAUACUACUGUAGUUCUUUAAAAGUUUAUUUAGAAGUGGGGCUUGUGGAAAAUAAUUCAGAGUAUCGUAAACCAAAAAAAAAGGAAAAAAAAAAUCCUGAACGUUCAAUCUACUUUUAAUUUGAUGUAAUUAUUAGUCUUGUUUGGUUGAAGAGGAAAGGGGUGGGAAGUCAAGCAAAAGGAAGUACUUUGUAAAAUGUAGUCUUAGAUCAGAUUGAAUUGUGUAUCUGUGUGUCUGUGGUAUGUGUGUGUUCCUCUUGAAGUCUGGGAGGUGCAGUGAAAAGGUGUAAUAAUUCUUAAAAGAGCUGGUCUCAGUACUUUCCGAAUAUGUUAUGCUACUAAGUCACAUUUUUAAUAAGACCCCUUCAGUUACCUUAUCUCUCCCAGUUAUACAUCUCUCAUUUCAAUUUCCGAAUACUUUUACACUUUAAAUUGAUUGUAAAAAACCCUCGAAACUGAAAUAAAGAUACUUGACUUGAAAUGGAAACAAGGAAAAAUGAAAACAAAAACGAAUGUUUUAAAAAAGAAUGUGAGAAUAUUUGUCAUCAGGAUGAUAGUUGCUAUUCAGAGUUCAGUGAUACGCCCUAGAAUGUGAAAACAACUAUCCUGACAAGAAGUGGACCGUUGGACAUAAACAAUUCAUCAGCUUCUUUGGCACAAUAGAACUUAUGUGCUCUGUAGUACAACGACUCCCCAUCCCGUAAAGAAAGAAGACGUGCACAGUUACACAUCUUAUAGUCAGUACUGUUUCUAUGUGCUGCUGCAUUUGUUUUGUUUCAAAAUGUCAGCGUUAUUUGAAGCUGGCCGUGACUGAAUUUUGCCGGAUUCUUCAGUUUGGGGCUUUCAUUGCUGUUUAUGUCCAUCAAUGUUGAUGCAACUAUUUUCUUGGUUUUGAAUAAUCAUAAGUCAGUGGAGUUAAUGCAAUAUUAUAAUCCUGGACUUUCAGUACAUUUGAAACGAUUUAAAACAAUUGUGUUCUUGGAAUUUAUUUAUUUAUGGUGGCACCAGUGUAUCUAAUCCAUAUUUCCUGCUGUGUGAAACCCUGUUAAAUUUUUUUUCAUUAAAACAAGGAGACACGAUCUUGUUUAAUCCUGUAUAUAUGGUGUCUACAUCCUAGAUUUGUGUAUGCUGUGAAUGAACUUAUUACUAAGAGAUGAAAUUGUAUAAAGGCAUUCAGAGGCUAUGCAUGCAUGGUACCUCCAGAAAGUGCAUACUCCGAGUUGCAGACUCCUGCAAAAUAAAUUAAUAAAACUAAGCAAACAUCA